AGUGAACGCUGGCGGUAGGCCUAACACAUGCAAGUCGAACGGCAGCACAGUAAGAGCUUGCUCUUACGGGUGGCGAGUGGCGGACGGGUGAGGAAUACAUCGGAAUCUACUUUUUCGUGGGGGAUAACGUAGGGAAACUUACGCUAAUACCGCAUACGACCUACGGGUGAAAGCAGGGGAUCUUCGGACCUUGCGCGAUUGAAUGAGCCGAUGUCGGAUUAGCUAGUUGGCGGGGUAAAGGCCCACCAAGGCGACGAUCCGUAGCUGGUCUGAGAGGAUGAUCAGACACACUGGAAGUGAGACACGGUCCAGACUCCUACGGGAGGCAGAAGUGGGGAAUAUUGGACAAUGGGCGCAAGCCUGAUCAAGCCAUACCGCGUGGGUGAAGAAGGCCUUCGGGUUGUAAAGCCCUUUUGUUGGGAAAGAAAAGCAGCAGGUUAAUACCCCGCUGUUCUGACGGUACCCAAAGAAUAAGCACCGGCUAACUUCGUG
rnacentral:rRNA from 1 species